rnacentral:tRNA from 1 species
GGAGAGGUGGCUGAGUGGCUUAAGGCAGCGGGUUGCUAACUCGUCGUACUGCGAAAGUGGUACCGGGGGUUCGAAUCCCCCCCUCUCCGCCA